AGCGUGGCCGAGCGGUCUAAGGCGCUGG
rnacentral:piRNA from 2 species